CGACUGCUAAGACUGGCUUCUUAUGAAGGUAUGCUUAAAGAGGGGCUUGCGCCACAUUAGUUAGUUGGUAGGGUAAAAGCCUACCAAGACGAUGAUGUGUAGCUGGACUGAGAGGUUGAACAGCCACAUUGGGACUGAGACACGGCCCAAACUCCUACGGGAGGCAGCAGUAGGGAAUUUUCGGCAAUGGAGGAAACUCUGACCGAGCAACGCCGCGUGAACGAUGAAGUAUUUCGGUAUGUAAAGUUCUUUUAUUGAAGAAGAAAAAGUAGUGGAAAAACUAUAUUGACGUUAUUCCAUGAAUAAGCCCCGGCUAACUAUGUGCCAGCAGCCGCGGUAAGACAUAGGGGGCGAGCGUUAUCCGGAAUUAUUGGGCGUAAAGGGUGCGUAGGCUGUUAGAUAAGUCUAUAAUUUAAUUUCAGUGCUUAACGCUGUCUUGUUAUAGAAACUGUCUUGACUAGAGUGAGAUAGAGACAAGCGGAAUUCCAUGUGUAGCGGUAAAAUGUGUAAAUAUAUGGAGGAACACCAGAAGCGUAGGCGGCUUGCUGGGUCUUUACUGACGCUGAGGCACGAAAGCGUGGGUAGCAAACAGGAUUAGAUACCCUGGUAGUCCACGCCGUAAACGAUGAGUACUAAGUGUCGGGGUAAAACUCGGUACUGAAGUUAACACAUUAAGUACUCCGCCUGAGUAGUACCUACGCAAGUAUGAAACUUAAAGGAAUUGACGGGACUCCGCACAAGCGGUGGAUCAUGUUGUUUAAUUCGAAGAUACACGAAAAAUCUUACCAGGUCUUGACAUACUCUGCAAAGCUAUAGAAAUAUAGUGGAGGUUAUCAGGGAUACAGGUGGUGCAUGGUUGUCGUCAGUUCGUGUCGUGAGAUGUUAGGUUAAGUCCUAAAACGAGCGCAACCCUUGUCGUUAAUUGCCAGCACGUAAUGGUGGGGACUUUAGCGAGACUGCCAAUUAAAACAUUGGAGGAAGGUGAGGAUUACGUCAAAUCAUCAUGCCCCUUAUGAUCUGGGCUACAAACGUGAUACAAUGGCUGUGACAAAGAGUAGCUGAAACGCGAGUUUUUAGCCAAUCUCAAAAAAGCAGUCUCAGUUCGGAUUGAAGUCUGUAACUCGACUUCAUGAAGUUGGAAUCGCUAGUAAUCGCGAAUCAGCAUGUCGCGGUGAAUACGUUCUCGGGGUUUGUACACACCGCCCGUCAAACCACGAAA
rnacentral:rRNA from 1 species